GAAACACGGACCAAGGAGUCCAACGUGUGCGCAAGUCGUUGGGUGUUAAAACCCAAUGGCGUAAUUAAGGUGAAGGACAGUGCCCUGUCCCAGGGAGGAGGGAGGCCCGCCUCACCGGGCGGCCCCCCGCACUCCCGGGGCGUCUCUGGCUCAUCGCGAGCGGAGGCGCACCUAGAGCGUUCACGUUGGGACCCGAAAGAUGGUGAACUAUGCCUGGCCAGGACGAAGCCAGGGGAAACCCUGGUGGAGGUCCGUAGCGGUUCUGACGUGCAAAUCGAUCGUCGGAGCUGGGUAUAGGGGCGAAAGACUAAUCGAACCAUCUAGUAGCUGGUUCCCUCCGAAGUUUCCCUCAGGAUAGCUGGCGCCCAGGCUGAGACGAGUCUCAUCUGGUAAAGCGAAUGAUUAGAGGCAUUGGGGUCGAAACGACCUCAACCUAUUCUCAAACUUUAAAUGGAUGAGAACCCCGGCUUGCUUGAUCACUUCUCGUGAAGCCGCGGGCUCGGAUCCGGGUGCCAAGUGGGCCAAUUUUGGUAAGCAGAACUGGCGCUGUGG
rnacentral:rRNA from 1 species